rnacentral:misc_RNA from 1 species
UUUUGAGAGUCAUGAAAUGAACAAAGUAGAAGCAAUGUGUGUUACAAUUGAUGAAUCAUUACAAGUCUUAACCUUUCUUCUGCUUCUACACACCGUUUCUCUCGAUAACAUGCGGCUAAAAACAACAAACCCAUCAUUAUCUCUACUAAAAUAAACAUGUGAAGAUAAAUAAUAACAAUAAAAUUUUAAAUCUUUUUUAACUUUUUUUAUUGUUUAUUAUUAUUUAUUUUUUAUUUGAUGAUUAUUAUUAUUUAUUUGUUACCUCAUUUUUUGGGAACCAUGACAGAGUCUCUGUAUCUCGACGGUAGUACCUGGCUCCUCCCUCUCUUCGAUCUCACCACCGGCGAGGUGUCUUCUAAAUCUCCAUGCAAACAAUCCUCACCAGAAGACUCGCUACUUCUUUUCAAGGACGAAGACUAUGCUUCUUUUACCUUUAGCUGCUAUUGCUGCUUCUGAUUCUUUUGCAUUUGUUGGAGGCUUCAACUCUUGCAUUUCUGCUGCUUCACUGAGAAGAAUUAAGCCAAUAAACUUGUGUUUUUCUUCUCCCUCUUGAAAUGGCGGUGCUAAUUUAACCCCUCCAUCAUCAGCGUCAAGACUUUCUUAUUUAUCUUUUCCUUUUCCUUUUUCCUUUUUUUGGUCGUUUACGUCUUUGGCUUCCAGAUAUAUGGCUUCUGAAACUUUUGAGCUUCGAGAUUCUUUCCCAAUUGCUUCAAUUGUGAGAGAAUCAGUACCGGAAUGAUCCCCAACCACUUUUUUCUUUCUGAGCAAGUGCCCAACCUCCUUAUCAUCACAGUCUCCUGCUGAUGAGCUCUUCUCGACGCCAAAAUCCUGCCAACUUCCAAUUCUAAACUGUCACUCAAAACUUUAUCCCCAACGCUAGUAGCAAUUAAAACCUCCAAUGCUUCCGCUUCCGGACAAAAUUCCACGUUCAAAUCGAUACCCAGUCCCUUAUUCUCUUCUAACUCACGAUUCAAAGACGAUACUCUCGAGGUUUCUUGUGGUGGGUAUGAAGCAAUAAUUCGUAAAAUCUUUUGGAGGAACAUUUGGGACUUGGAAAACCCACGGCGAAUAUCGGUAGAACAAGGAGAAUCGCGUACCUGAUUUGGAUGGUGAAGGAAUUGAUACGAACCCAUGGAUCUUGAAAAUGAAAAAUGAACAAGAAACUAAUAAUAACCCUUUCCUUGUUGAGUUAAAAAGGUUUCUUCUUUGCAUGCCAUUGGAUUUGGAGGUCAGCUGCCAUGGAUUCUACGACAAUCGCAAGGGGAGAGGAAGGGAAUAACAGGACGUGAAAGAAAAUUCUACAGAGAGAAAACGAGUAGAGAACGAAAGAAACAAGCCAAGAAAAC